rnacentral:rRNA from 1 species
GACGAACGCUGGCGGCGUGCCUAAUACAUGCAAGUCGAACGCUUUUUCUUUCACCGGAGCUUGCUCCACCGAAAGAAAAAGAGUGGCGAACGGGUGAGUAACACGUGGGUAACCUGCCCAUCAGAAGGGGAUAACACUUGGAAACAGGUGCUAAUACCGUAUAACACUAUUUUCCGCAUGGAAGAAAGUUGAAAGGCGCUUUUGCGUCACUGAUGGAUGGACCCGCGGUGCAUUAGCUAGUUGGUGAGGUAACGGCUUACCAAGGCAACGAUGCAAAGCCGACCUGAGAGGGAGAUCGGCCACACUGGGACUGAGACACGGCCCAGACUCCUACGGGAGGUAGCAGUAGGGAAUCUUCGGCAAUGGACGAAAGUCUGACCGAGCAACGCCGCGUGAGUGAAGAAGGUUUUCGGAUCGUGAAACUCUGUUGUUAGAGAAGAACAAGGAUGAGAGUAAAACGUUCAUCCCUUGACGGUAUCUAACCAGAAAGCCACGGCUAACUACGUGCCAGCAGCCGCCGUAA